rnacentral:rRNA from 1 species
AGCAGUCGCCGCGGUAAUACGUAGGUCCCGAGCGUUGUCCGGAUUUAUUGGGCGUAAAGCGAGCGCAGGCGGUUAGAUAAGUCUGAAGUUAAAGGCUGUGGCUUAACCAUAGUACGCUUUGGAAACUGUUUAACUUGAGUGCAAGAGGGGAGAGUGGAAUUCCAUGUGUAGCGGUGAAAUGCGUAGAUAUAUGGAGGAACACCGGUGGCGAAAGCGGCUCUCUGGCUUGUAACUGACGCUGAGGCUCGAAAGCGUGGGGAGCAAACAGGAUUAGAGACCCCUGUAGUCCCUGUCUCUUAUACA